rnacentral:lncRNA from 1 species
CUGUGGUUGAUAUGACCAUUUUUGGCACCAAUAGAGUACAUAUAUCAACCGGGAACAGCCCACAUGACCGUAAGUUUGACUGUCCAUGCCUGUCAAGUUGACUCCAGAACAUGGUUCUCUCAUAUUAGGAAUAUCAUUCUGUUUCCCUCACUCGACGUGGGUAGUUUUCUCCUCCUAUUUGAGAAGCAACAAGAAUAAUUCAUCACUCAUCAGCGAGUCUGUCAUGUCGUG